AACGAACGCUGGCGGCAUGCCUAACACAUGCAAGUCGAACGAGACCUUCGGGUCUAGUGGCGCACGGGUGCGUAACGCGUGGGAACCUGCACUUAGGUUCGGAAUAACUCCCCGAAAGGGGUGCUAAUACCGGAUAAUGUCUUCGGACCAAAGAUUUAUCGCCUUUGGAUGGGCCCGCGUUGGAUUAGCUAGUUGGUAGGGUAAAAGCCUACCAAGGCGACGAUCCAUAGCUGGUCUGAGAGGAUGAUCAGCCACACUGGGACUGAGACACGGCCCAGACUCCUACGGGAGGCAGCAGUGGGGAAUAUUGGACAAUGGGCGAAAGCCUGAUCCAGCAAUGCCGCGUGAGUGAUGAAGGCCUUAGGGUUGUAAAGCUCUUUUACCCGGGAUGAUAAUGACAGUACCGGGAGAAUAAGCUCCGGCUAACUACGUG
rnacentral:rRNA from 1 species